CAAAGAGGGGGACCUUCGGGCCUCUUGCCAUCGGAUGUGCCCAGAUGGGAUUAGCUAGUAGGUGGGGUAAAGGCUCACCUAGGCGACGAUCCCUAGCUGGUCUGAGAGGAUGACCAGCCACACUGGAACUGAGACACGGUCCAGACUCCUACGGGAGGCAGCAGUGGGGAAUAUUGCACAAUGGGCGCAAGCCUGAUGCAGCCAUGCCGCGUGUAUGAAGAAGGCCUUCGGGUUGUAAAGUACUUUCAGCGGGGAGGAAGGGAGUAAAGUUAAUACCUUUGCUCAUUGACGUUACCCGCAGAAGAAGCACCGGCUAACUCCGUGCCAGCAGCCGCGGUAAUACGGAGGGUGCAAGCGUUAAUCGGAAUUACUGGGCGUAAAGCGCACGCAGGCGGUUUGUUAAGUCAGAUGUGAAAUCCCCGGGCUCAACCUGGGAACUGCAUCUGAUACUGGCAAGCUUGAGUCUCGUAGAGGGGGGUAGAAUUCCAGGUGUAGCGGUGAAAUGCGUAGAGAUCUGGAGGAAUACCGGUGGCGAAGGCGGCCCCCUGGACGAAGACUGACGCUCAGGUGCGAAAGCGUGGGGAGCAAACAGGAUUAGGUACCCUGGUAGUCCACGCCGUAAACGAUGUCGACUUGGAGGUUGUGCCCUUGAGGCGUGG
rnacentral:rRNA from 1 species